rnacentral:rRNA from 1 species
CGGCAACGGGGUAGUUAUACACAGGUUACGUACCCUCGGGUCCGGGAUAGCCACGGGAAACUGUGGGUAAUACCCGAUGAUGUCUGUGGACCAAAGGUGUGAUUCCGCCUGAGGAGCGGCUUACGUGAUAUUAGCUUGAUGGUGGGGUAACGGCCUACCAUGGCGACGAUGUCCAGGGGGUGUGAGAGCAUGGCCCCCACGACCGGAACUGAGAUACUGUCCGGACACCUACGGGUGGCUGCAGUCGAGAAUCUUCCGCAAUGGGCGAAAGCCUGAUGGAGCGACGCCGCGUGCGGGAUGAAGGCCCUUGGGUUGUAAACCGCUGUCAGAGGGGAUGAAACCAUGGUUGGUUAUCCUUCCAUGUUGACAGAGCCUCAAAGGAAGCACGGGCUAAGUACGUGCCAGCAGCCGCGGUAACACGUACUGUGCGAACGUUAUUCGGAAUCACUGGGCUUAAAGGGUGCGUAGGCGGUUUAUCAAGUCAGAUGUGAAAUGCCUGAGCUCAACUGAGGCACUGCGUUUGAAACUGAUAGACUUGAGUAUUCCAGGGGUAUGCGGAACUGCCAGUGGAGCGGUGAAAUGCGUUGAUAUUGGCAGGAACACCAGUGGCGAAGGCGGCAUGCUGGGGGAUAACUGACGCUGAGGCACGAAAGCCAGGGUAGCGAACGGGAUUAGAUACCCCGGUAGUCCUGGCCGUAAA